rnacentral:tRNA from 1 species
GCGGGUGUGGCGGAAUGGUAGACGCCGGGGACUUAAAAUCCCCUGUCCUUUGGGCGUGCGGGUUCGAGUCCCGCCAUCCGCACCA